rnacentral:rRNA from 1 species
GACGAACGCUGGCGGCGUGCCUAAUACAUGCAAGUAGAACGCUGAAGAGAGGAGCUUGCUCUUCUUGGAUGAGUUGCGAACGGGUGAGUAACGCGUAGGUAACCUGCCUGGUAGCGGGGGAUAACUAUUGGAAACGAUAGCUAAUACCGCAUAAAAUUGAUUAUUGCAUGAUAAUUAAUUGAAAGAUGCAACUGUAUCACUACCAGAUGGACCUGCGUUGUAUUAGCUAGUUGGUGAGGUAACGGCUCACCAAGGCGACGAUACAUAGCCGACCUGAGAGGGUGAUCGGCCACACUGGGACUGAGACACGGCCCAGACUCCUACGGGAGGCAGCAGUAGGGAAUCUUCGGCAAUGGGGGGAACCCUGACCGAGCAACGCCGCGUGAGUGAAGAAGGUUUUCGGAUCGUAAAGCUCUGUUGUAAGAGAAGAACGGGUGUGAGAGUGGAAAGUUCACACUGUGACGGUAUCUUACCAGAAAGGGACGGCUAACUACGUG